rnacentral:lncRNA from 1 species
AUGACAAAAUUUCCACGGAGAAAAAGUUGCUAUCGUGUUUCAGGAUUUACAGAGCCAAGCAACCCAGUGAAGAAGACAAUGAAGAGUUGUGCUAGAGCAGUAUUUGAAGAAACCUCUAGGUUUUUAGGAAAUCCUCCAGAGAAAACAAAGAUAAGUAAAAUAAUUGUUACCUCCUUAAAAAUAGGUUAUGCUAUCAUAAGAAAAUUAAAUAUUUAGUCUCAAAAAAUGUUUUUGUUUAUUUAGACUUUUUAACUUGUUGUUUCUUCAUCCUCAUGAAAUGCCCAUCUCCCUGUAUCUUCCCUUACUUGACUCAAUUUCCAUCUAGCCCUUCCUUAUGAUUUUACAAAUCAAUAGGACCAGAAUGUAGAUCUUCUGUGUGUUUUGCCAUCAAAAGAAAGAAGAGUCCAGAUCGUGUUCUGAAAAGUGGGGAUGACAGGAGAUUUAGCCUGCAGCUCAUCUUUAUCUUUAAAUCCUUAAAAGCCCUUGAUACAUAAUUUUUUUUUUUUUACAGAUUUCUUUAUUUAUGUUCUAUAAAUGGACAGUUACAGUCUUUUUCUAAGACAGUAAUGAAUUCUUCCUCAUGAGCAUGUCAGCAAACAGAAUAAGCCGAAAACCUCCAGUGACUGCUGUCCAAAUGAAGAGGAAGGAAAGGCUGACAUUUAAUCAUUUCAUAGUGAGUAUUGAUGCCUAAUUGCCAGUUUCACUGUAUCUCUAGCUCACUUGUCAGUGCCUGAGUGCCAUUUCCCAGUAUUCACAUGUAGCUUGUGAAAUCCUUGUUCCUUCUAAUUUGUUUGUAAUUCCAUUCAUAUCUAGGAAUGGAAAUAUGCAGGAGUGCUGUCUUUUAUGUUCUUCUGUCAAAAUACAAAGAUAUUUGGAAAACUGUUCACCUUUCUAUUGAAUUUCAUUCUUCUUUUAGAUGCAAAAUAUAUUUUUUCAUCCUUAAAGACUACAUAUUUAAUGAGGAAUGAAGUAUAGCAAUGCUGUACUUGAUGUACUCCAGGAUACAAUUGAACCUUUUGGCUAUCAAUGUCAUAUCAUAGAAAAUAACAUGAAGAUGUAAGUAAGAAUGAUACGAUGUUCCUUGCAUCUCUAGUUUUGAUAUUUGUCUUCACUCAAACUUUCACUAAAAUUAGAGAGUAGAUGAGUUAGAGAUCAUAGAAUCAUAGAAUGGCUCAGGUUGGAAGGGAUCUUAGAGAUCAUCUAACUCCAACCCCCCUGCCUUGGGCAGGGAUGCCACCCACUAGAUCAGGUUGGCCAAGGCCCCAUACAGCCUGGCCUGGAACACCCCCAGGGAUGGGGCAGCCACAGCUUCUCUGGGCAACUUGUUCCAAUGCUUCACUACCCUUACAGUGAAGAAUUUCCUCCUAAUGUCUUGUCUAAAUCUAUCCUCUUUCAGUUUAAGAUCAUUCCCCCUUGUCCUAUCAUAUUCUUCUCAAGUAAAGAGUUGUUUUUUUUUUUUUUGUAAGACCCCCUUUAAGCAUUGAAAGGCCACAAUGAGGUCUCCGUGUAGCCUUCUCUUCUCCAGGCUGAACAUCUCCAGCUCUCUCACCCUUUCUUCAUAGAAGAGAUGGUCUUCAUAGGCCUGCUGGUCAUCCUCGUAGCCCUCCUCUGGACACACUCUAACAGGUCCACAUCUUGUGCCCCAGACCUGGAUGCAGUACUCCAGGUGGGGCCUCGCAAGGGCAGAGUAGAUGCAAUCCUAUGCUGCUUUUCACCUUGCUGUGUUGCCUUCUUUUUCUGAGGGUACUCAAAAAGACUGGUGAUGAAUUUGUAAUUUGUUAUUUGUAAUUUAUUUAUUUAUUUAUUUUAGAACAGCCCCCUUUUAGGAAAAUUGAUGCAAAUUCAAAGUCUUCCACAUAGUGUACCUGAAUGUGAAUGUCAGAUUAACUGCAGACCAAGUUGCGAAAUACACGAUUCAGAUUAACUGCAGACCAAGUUAUGAAAUAUAUGAUUUUUCAGUAUAAUUUUCCUUCUUUUACUAGAAGUGCCCUAAAAGAAUAUAUUACAUAUAUUCUUACACUGGCAUUCCUACAGAAUUUUUACUUUAUCGUUUCAGCUCUUGUUUCUCUCCUCACACACACAUCCCAUUACCAAUAAGAACUCAAAAUGAUUGACAAAAAUGGAAGUUUUCAUAAUGCAAAAUUAUCAUUCUGCCACAAUGAGCUUCAGUUUGCUUUUGCUAUAUGCAGAUAAGUCCUCUGUUGAAUUUAAUCAGAAGAGCUAUGUACUCUGUUGAAUAGGAGAUAUUGACAGUUCCUAAACUUUACAUUUUGCUAUUCUUUUUUCCUUCGAUAUUAUUUAAGUGACAACAAGAAAAAAUAAAAUGGCUACAGCAUGUAUGUAUUUAUCCCUG